rnacentral:rRNA from 1 species
GACGAACGCUGGCGGCGUGCCUAAUACAUGCAAGUCGAGCGAAGUUUUUCUGGUGCUUGCACUAGAAAAACUUAGCGGCGAACGGGUGAGUAACACGUAAAGAACCUGCCUCAUAGACUGGGACAACUAUUGGAAACGAUAGCUAAUACCGGAUAACAGCAUUAACUGCAUGGUUGAUGUUUAAAAGUUGGUUUUGCUAACACUAUGAGAUGGCUUUGCGGUGCAUUAGCUAGUUGGUGGGGUAAAGGCCUACCAAGGCGACGAUGCAUAGCCGACCUGAGGGGGUGAUCGGCCACACUGGGACUGAGACACGGCCCAGACUCCUACGGGAGGCAGCAGUAGGGAAUCUUCCGCAAUGGGCGAAAGCCUGACGGAGCAACGCCGCGUGAGUGAAGAAGGAUUUCGGUUCGUAAAGCUCUGUUGUUAGGGAAGAAUGAUUGUGUAGUACCUAUACACAGUAGAGACGGUACCUAACCAGAAAGCCACGGCUAACUACGUG